AGGAUUGGUCCACGGAGGACACCCACCCAUGAAGGGUUAACAAAGGAUUCCACUAUGGCGUACACUCACGAAGGAUUGGUAUCACUAGGGUUGAUCUUCAUGAAGUAGGGGAUCUCCAAGCACUUCUGGAUUUCUUGGAUUCUUCACAAACUUGAAAACCUCCAAGCACUUAGACGUUUUGGGAGAAGCAUACCCUUCAAAAGUAACAAGAUAUAAAUUUCUUGGUGAUGAAUUCCUUGCAAUUGUGCUUAAGAACAUAAUAACCUGAACACUCAAAGCUCUCUCAAUAUAUGUCCCGUGGGUUGAUGAUGAAGGAGUGGAAAGAAAGAGUAGAUUAGAUAUUAAAGGAUUGGCUUGGAUGGCUGGAGUGGAAAGCCCUUUGAAAUAAACACAAGGAGAUGGAGUUCUCUCUCGGAACAUAUGAUGAGAGUGGAG
rnacentral:lncRNA from 1 species